rnacentral:rRNA from 1 species
UACGUAGGGUGCAGGCGUUAAUCGGAAUUACUGGGCGUAAAGCGUGCGCAGGCGGUUUGCUAAGACAGAUGUGAAAUCCCCGGGCUUAACCUGGGAACUGCGUUUGUAACUGGCAAGCUAGAGUGUGGCAGAGGGGGGUGGAAUUCCAAGUGUAGCAGUGAAAUGCGUAGAUAUUUGGAGGAACACCGACGGCGAAGGCAGCCCCCUGGGCUAACACUGACGCUCAUGCACGAAAGCGUGGGGAGCAAACAGG